UAUCUCAAAUGAGAGCAUGGCAUUAACACUGCCAGGGUUCGGGUUUCAAUUCCCGAAGGGGCCA